GAUGAACGCUGGCGGCGUGCCUAAUACAUGCCAGUUGAGCGCACAGAGUUGGAACUUGUACCGCUUGGAUUAGCAGCGAACGGGUGAGUAACGCGUGGGGAACCUGCCUUUGAGCGGGGGACAACUUUUGGAAACGAAUGCUAAUACCGCAUAAAAACUUUAAACACAAGGUUUAAGAUUGAAAGAUGCAAUUGCAUCACUCAAAGAUGAUCCCGCGUUGUAUUAGGUAGUUGGUGAAGUAAAGGCCUACCAAAGCGAAGAUACAUAGCCGACCCGGGAGGGUGAUCGGCCACAAUGGGACUGGGACCCCGGCCAAGCCCCUUAGGGGAGCAGCAGUAGGGGAUCUUCGGGCAUUGGCGGAAGUCUUACCGGACAACGCCGGCGUGGUUGAUGAAGUUUUUGGAUUGUAAAAAUCUUUUUGUUGGGGAGAAACAUGUUGGUAGGGAACAGCUCACCAAUUGACGGUACCUAACCAGAAAGCCACGGCUAACUACGUG
rnacentral:rRNA from 1 species